UUUUUUUUUCUUUUUUACUGUUAACAUAGUUGAAAAGUCAAAUCGUAUCACUGAGUAGAUCUAGAAAUGACAGUAUGACUUUGUUUCUAACAGCUCCAAAAUGGAUCAAAAUGUUUGUUUUGGAUGAAGCAGAUGAAAUGUUGAGCCGUGGUUUUAAGGAUCAAAUCUAUGAGAUUUUCCAAAAACUAAACACAAGUAUCCAGGUAAGCAUUACUUCACCCCCCUUAAAGGUAGAGAUGGUUUAAUGCAGGUACUGUUACAAUACAACUGACGUGUUUUAUUGUCGUUCCCCCUGCUUAAAGCACUUGAUGCAUAACUAUCUCUGUCUAACUCCAUUCCGUAGUAAGACAGAGACGCUUGGCUUCAAACAUUUUCCCUUGGGUAUUACUGUGUAAGUUGUGCUACAACAUAAUUUUCUCUUUUUAAGGUUGUGUUGCUUUCUGCCACAAUGCCAACUGAUGUGUUGGAAGUGACCAAAAAAUUCAUGAGAGAUCCAAUUCGAAUUCUGGUGAAAAAGGAAGAAUUGACCCUUGAAGGAAUCAAACAGUUUUAUAUUAAUGUUGAGAGAGAGGAGUGGAAGUUGGAUACACUUUGUGACUUGUACGAGACACUGACCAUCACGCAGGCUGUUAUUUUUCUCAAUACGAGGCGCAAGGUGGACUGGCUGACUGAGAAAAUGCAUGCCAGAGAUUUCACAGUUUCUGCUCUGGUAAGAGGUGUUCUAAAAUGUCUGAA
rnacentral:sRNA from 1 species